rnacentral:rRNA from 1 species
AGGGCACCACCAGGAGUGGAGCCUGCGGCUUAAUUUGACUCAACACGGGAAAACUCACCCGGCCCGGACACCGUAAGGAUUGACAGAUUGAGAGCUCUUUCUUGAUUCGGUGGGUGGUGGUGCAUGGCCGUUCUUAGUUGGUGGAGCGAUUUGUCUGGUUAAUUCCGAUAACGAACGAGACUCUAGCCUGCUAAAUAGGCAGUGGAUUCUUAGUCCACUGUACUUCUUAGAGGGACAAGCAGCGUCUAGCUGCACGAGAUUGAGCAAUAACAGGUCUGUGGUGCCCUUAGAUGUUCGGGGCUGCACGCGCGCUACACUGAAGGAAUCAACAUGCUUCUCAACCUUGCCCGGAAGGGCUAGGUAACCCGUUGAAACUCCUUCGUGAUUGGGAUAGGGAAUUGCAAUUAUUUCCCUUGAACGAGGAAUUCCCAGUAAGUGCGGGUCAUCAGCUCGCGCUGAUUACGUCCCUGCCCUUUGUACACACCGCCCGUCGCUACUACCGAUUGGAAGUAGACGAGA